GGAGGGAUGGCGUAACCGGUAGCGCAGCGGCUUGCUAAGCCGUCGAGUGUAACAGCUCUGCGGGUUCGAGUCCCGCUCCCUCCG
rnacentral:tRNA from 1 species